rnacentral:misc_RNA from 1 species
GGCCCCCUGCUAUUGUGCAGCCCGACUGCCGGGUACGUCUGCCUUCUCAUGAUCGGUCCGUCCGCGUACCGUAUCCGUCGUUGCUUGUGUUCGCUACCCUGGUUUGGGGUAACUUGUCGAAUCCCAAGAGUUGAAUUUUGGCGUUGCCUGGCAUUAUUGUCCGGCCGUCGCCUCGCGUCGUGGUUCGCCGCAUUCUGGUGGCAAUCGAUUGAAUGCGGUUGUCACGAGACUCUUGCGGCGUCACGUUUUGGUUCCUUGGGUGCGGUUGAUCAUGUGGUCAUUGGUCUCUCCUCGAGGCGCCUUUGUCCCUGACCCGAUGUGGUCGCCGGUUGGUUCGGACGUCCCUCGGCGAGGCGAUGGGCUGCGGCUCUGUUGUCUCCGCCGACACUGUCGCUGUGCUACCUGGUUGAUCCUGCCAGUAGUCAUAUGCUUGUCUCAAAGAUUAAGCCAUG